CCUACGGGAGCUGCAGUGGGGAAUAUUGGACAAUGGGGGCAACCCUGAUCCAGCCAUGCCGCGUGUGUGAAGAAGGCCCUCGGGUUGUAAAGCACUUUCAGUGAGGAAGAACGCCUGGUGGUUAAUACCCAUCAGGAAAGACAUCACUCACAGAAGAAGCACCGGCUAACUCCGUGCCAGCAGCCGCGGUAAUACGGAGGGUGCGAGCGUUAAUCGGAAUUACUGGGCGUAAAGCGCGCGUAGGUGGCUUGAUAAGCCGGUUGUGAAAGCCCCGGGCUCAACCUGGGAACGGCAUCCGGAACUGUCAAGCUAGAGUGCAGGAGAGGAAGGUAGAAUUCCCGGUGUAGCGGUGAAAUGCGUAGAGAUCGGGAGGAAUACCAGUGGCGAAGGCGGCCUUCUGGACUGACACUGACACUGAGGUGCGAAAGCGUGGGUAGCAAACAGGAUUAGAUACCCGAGUAGUC
rnacentral:rRNA from 1 species